rnacentral:lncRNA from 1 species
AAGAGAUGAGACCCAGAAGCACUGCACAGCAGUGGGGAAACCAUCUCCAAACUCAGAGGUUAUCAAUGUGAUGUGCGCUGGCAGAACCACCCCAUGUGCAGGGAGGUGAUGCCCCAUCACCAGUUCGUCCAGCUCCAACCUCACCCUCCCAGGGCUGCGAGUAAAGAACUGACCAUGGUCCUGACCGCUUCAGGCUCAGGACACGCUGCACCAAGCAGGUCCCAGACCCAGCUUCAGAGCACACGAGGUCCCACGUGCUGAGCCAGUGUCACCUGGAGCUGCAGCCCCACCAGGACCCCGGGUCUGACUAACAGCUGUCCAACACCACACCCACCUCACUCCUUGCCCAGAUGGGUGACAGGCACCAGACCACCAGCUGAGAAGAGCCGGACAUGAUGCCUUCAGAGCUCACUCGACAGGAAACCACAUCCCACUGUGGGAAUCCAUCCUCCCUUCCCUCAAUUUGGUAGAAGAAUACCACCCAAAAUGGCAAAACAUGGCUGCACCCAGUGUUCUGGAGUUUGGUGUCACCACCAGGACAAGCCCUGUGCCCACACACCGAUGUUCCCUGACUCACCCACUGAGGACCACGAUGAAGUCCAUGACGUUCCAGCCAUUGCGUAGGUAUGAGCCCUUGUGGAAAACGAAGCCCAGAGCCACGAUCUUAAUCCCAGCCUCAAAGCAGAAAAUCCCAAUAAAGUACGGCUCCGUCUUCUCCUACAGAGAGGAACCAGGGGCACAGUGAGAGAGAAGCACAGGGCAAACAGCACCAUGCAUUUCACAUGAGGUGGCUUCAUCAUGCACCAACCCCAUUUCCCUGUCCCAUCCCACCUUCCUCAUCCAGGAGCUUCCCCAGCCCUUCCUCCGACAGCAUCAGUUUGGAGACCAGAAAUACAGAGCUGUGACAUACUUCAGUGCCACUUUUCAGGGUUUUUAAACCUUCCUGGAUCCUUUCCAUGGUGGAGCCACAAAGGCCAGUGGGGUCCCCUCCUGACCCACCACCCCCAAAAUGAGCAGAAAUCAUCUGUUGGGAAAGGGUCCCCGACAAGGAUGCUCACCAGUCUCCGUGACAUGGGUGUCUUGUCGUCCUCUGGGAGGUGCUGCUCCAGGGCCAGCACGAUGCAGUUGGCAAUUAUGGUUGCCAGGAUCAUAUACUCGAAGGGAGUGGAAGAAGUCAAG